AGCAACAAUAAUUUGCAAGUAAUGGAUCUACUAGUUCUACCUACUGAAGCUAGCCAAAUUGUUAAGCAACGCCUUUUGAAUUUUAUAAGAUUGUUGUCAACUGUCCUGGCCUUUGCCUUUUGUUUGUCAAUUUUGCAUAUCAUCACUUACUGUGGCAUGAGAUGCUAAUUUCUCUAUUGAUUAUAUUAGACCGGGGAUGAGAAGACUUCUGAAGAGCAAUGUCAAUUUUUUUAGUCAUUUGGGGUGCAAGUAGCAUGAAUGUUCUUGACAAAUUAGUUCAUGGUUGUUGUUAUGUAUUGGAGUUUGAUUAAAGCAAUGUAUUGUGUUUUGUGAUGUAAUAUAUAAAUACCAAACAAUAUAAUAUGUAGUGGAUUGCAUCAUGUAUGUUGCAUGCAUUUUACAUGAUGAAUAUUGAAUUUUUUUUUUAUUUUA